CCUACGGGAGGCUGCAGUGAGGAAUAUUGGUCAAUGGACGGAAGCCUGAACCAGCCAUGCCGCGUGCAGGAAGACGGCUCUAUGAGUUGUAAACUGCUUUUGUACAAGGGUAAACCUGAAUACGUGUAUUCAGCUGAAAGUACUGUACGAAUAAGGAUCGGCUAACUCCGUGCCAGCAGCCGCGGUAAUACGGAGGAUCCAAGCGUUAUCCGGAUUUAUUGGGUUUAAAGGGUGCGUAGGCGGAUUGAUAAGUUAGAGGUGAAAUGUCCGAGCUCAACUCGGGAACUGCCUCUAAUACUGUUGAUCUAGAGAGUAGAUGCGGUAGGCGGAAUGUAUGGUGUAGCGGUGAAAUGCUUAGAGAUCAUACAGAACACCGAUUGCGAAGGCAGCUUACCAAUCUAUAUCUGACGUUGAGGCACGAAAGCGUGGGGAGCAAACAGGAUUAGAUACCCUAGUAGUC
rnacentral:rRNA from 1 species